UACGUAGGGUGCAAGCGUUCAUCGGCAUUACUGGGCGUAAAGCGUGCGCAGGCGGUGAUGUAAGACAGGUGUGAAAUCCCCGGGCUUAACCUGGGAACUGCAUUUGUGACUGCAUCGCUGGAGUGCGGCAGAGGGGGAUGGAAUUCCGCGUGUAGCAGUGAAAUGCGUAGAUAUGCGGAGGAACACCGAUGGCGAAGGCAAUCCCCUGGGCCUGCACUGACGCUCAUGCACGAAAGCGUGGGGAGCAAACAGG
rnacentral:rRNA from 1 species